rnacentral:rRNA from 1 species
UUGAUCAUGGCUCAGGACGAACGCUGGCGGCGCGCCUAACACAUGCAAGUCGAACGGGGUUGUUUUCCACACCGAGGAAUUCGCCGGAGAAGCAGAAGUGCAGAUCUGGAGGAUACUUGGGUGUGGGAAACAAUCUAGUGGCGGACGGGUGAGUAACACGUGAGCAACCUGCCCAAGAGUGGGGGAUAACGUUUGGAAACGAACGCUAAUACCGCAUAAAGUACAGAGAGGGCAUCCUCUUUGUACCAAAGGAGUAAUCCGCUUUUGGAUGGGCUCGCGCCCGAUUAGAUAGUUGGUGAGGUAAUGGCUCACCAAGUCUGCGAUCGGUAGCCGGACUGAGAGGUUGAACGGCCACAUUGGGACUGAGACACGGCCCAGACUCCUACGGGAGGCAGCAGUGGGGAAUAUUGCACAAUGGGGGAAACCCUGAUGCAGCGACGCCGCGUGGGUGAAGACGGCCUUCGGGUUGUAAAGCCCUGUCUUCGGGGACGAUAAUGACGGUACCCGAGGAGGAAGCCACGGCUAACUACGUGCCAGCAGCCGCGGUAAUACGUA